UCUUUGUUUUUUGAAAUGAUGCUUUUAUGAGAUAGAGCUUUUUUAGAUAAUGCUUUUUUAGAUAAUGCUGGGGAAGGUUUUCCGGUUUAUCUCGGAGGGCUUGUAGCUCAGUUGGUUAGAGCGCGCGCUUGAUAAGCGUGAGGUCGGAGGUUCAAGUCCUCCCAGGCCCACCAAUUUACCUAUCCAUUUGCCUUUAUCCGUUUAUUUGCCGAUUUAUCGGUCUAUUGAAUUUAAGUGUUGGUAGCAGUUUUUAUAAUGAUGAGAAAUCAUGCUUAUAAAAGAACUCCUUAUAAAAGGCUUGUUUUUAAAAUGUGACGCUUAUCCAUUUCGCUUAGGCAAGAGAAACUUCAAGCGGUUCAAAUGCAAAAGGCUUUAAAUUUUGCAAAACACUUUGAAUUUUAAAGUGAUCCAAGUUCGUGAUCUCGAAUUUAAAAGUUUCGAAUGCUUUAUCCUUUUUUGGGGGCCGUAGCUCAGCUGGGAGAGCACCUGCUUUGCAAGCAGGGGGUCGUCGG
rnacentral:misc_RNA from 1 species